rnacentral:rRNA from 1 species
AUUGAACGCUGGCGGCAUGCUUUACACAUGCAAGUCGAACGGUAACAGGUUAAGCUGACGAGUGGCGAACGGGUGAGUAAUGCAUCGGAACGUGCCCGGUCGUGGGGGAUAACGCAGCGAAAGCUGCGCUAAUACCGCAUACGAUCUGAGGAUGAAAGCGGGGGACCGUAAGGCCUCGCGCGAUCGGAGCGGCCGAUGUCAGCUUAGGUGGUUGGUGGGGUAAAGGCUCACCAAGCCCACGAUCUGUAGCUGGUCUUAGAAGACGACCAGCCACACUGGGACUGAGACACGGCCCAGACUCCUACGGGAGGCAGCAGUGGGGAAUUUUGGACAAUGGGCGAAAGCCUGAUCCAGCAAUGCCGCGUGCAGGAAGUAGGCCUUCGGGUUGUAAACUGCUUUUGUACGGAGCGAAAAGGUCUCCUCUAAUACAGGGGGCUCAUGACGGUACCGUAAGAAUAAGCACCGGCUAACUACGUGCCAGCCGCCGCAGUAA